AUGAGGCUGACUAUCUCCUUCCCUGCCACCGGCUGUCAGAAAGUCAUCGACGUGGGCAGUGAACACAGCUUCAUAUGGUGUGUGAGAAGCAGAAGUAACUGGUGGUUCUCUGGGUAGCAAGUGGAAGGGUGAUGGGGUCCAGUCAGUGGUGGAAAUGCAAGCAAGGUUUUCCCAUGAUGCAAGGGGCAAAGGGCAUUCUUCUUACAGACCGGGAAGAACUGGAGAGAGCUAGCACAAGUCUGUUUGUGGAUGGUAACUUGGGAAAGAGACAGAGACAGAGACAGAGAGAUAGAGAGACAGAGGCAAAGAGGAGAGAGAGAGAGAGAGAGAGAGAGAGAUUUCCUGGACUGGCAGUUGCUACUCUGGCUCCACGUUCAAUGGUUGGAACCUAAAAAUGCUAGCAAAAUCCAAAAGCUUUUUAAUUUCUCUGAAGAAGAUGAUAUCCACCCACAUGCUGUCAGAAGCCCCUAAACACAGAGGACGAGAAGCCCAGGACCAAAGUGCCCAGGAUUCAGCGUCCACGUGUCCUGCAACACAAAUGUAUCACCCUGAAGAAACAGCACGCUUAAAAAAAAAAUGAGGCUGCAGAACACUCUAAACGAUUGAACAAAUUAAGGAAGGGGAUUGACAGGAGAUGCAGGCUGUCCUUGCUGAGAGCUUCUCAGGCUGAGCCCAGGGAUGCUUUAGCAAA
rnacentral:lncRNA from 1 species